rnacentral:rRNA from 1 species
AACCUUUACAAUGUGCGAAAGCAUGAUAAGGGAACUCCGAGUGCCAGCAUCUAAUGUUGGCUGUCCGUGUGCCUAAAACGCACAAGAUAGCAAGGGCCGGGUAAGACCGGUGCCAGCCGCCGCGGUAACACCGGCGGCCCGAGUGGUAGCCGCUAUUAUUGGGUCUAAAGGGUCCGUAGCCGGUUCGAUAAGUCCUCUGGGAAAUCUGGUUGCUUAACAAUCAGACUGCCAAGGGAUACUGUCGAACUUGAGACCGGGAGAGGUAAGAGGUACUUCAGGGGUAGGAGUGAAAUCUUGUAAUCCCUGGGGGACCAUCUGUGGCGAAGGCGUCUUACCAGAACGGGUCUGACGGUGAGGGACGAAAGCUGGGGGCGCAAACCGGAUUAGAUACCCGGGUAGUCCCAGCCGUAAACGAUGCUCGCUAUGUGUCAGGUACGGUGUGACCGUAUCUGGUGCCGUAGGGAAGCCGUGAAGCGAGCCACCUGGGAAGUACGGCCGCAAGGCUGAAACUUAA